rnacentral:sRNA from 1 species
UCACCUUCAACCCUACCUACUGACCUCUCUGCUGGCUUGCUCUCUUCCUGCCUACCCCCAGAAUUCCCCUCUCCCUCCCUAGAUCUCACCCCCAGGAUGUUGCGGAGGCUGCUGGAGCGGCCUUGCACGCUGGCCCUGCUUGUGGGCUCCCAGCUGGCUGUCAUGAUGUACCUGUCACUGGGGGGCUUCCGAAGUCUCAGUGCCCUAUUUGGCCGAGAUCAGGGGCCGACAUUUGACUAUUCUCACCCUCGUGAUGUCUACAGUAACCUCAGUCACCUGCCUGGGGCCCCAGGGGGUCCUCCAGCUCCUCAAGGUCUGCCCUACUGUCCAGAACGAUCUCCUCUCUUAGUGGGUCCUGUGUCGGUGUCCUUUAGCCCAGUGCCAUCACUGGCAGAGAUUGUGGAGCGGAAUCCCCGGGUAGAACCAGGGGGCCGGUACCGCCCUGCAGGUUGUGAGCCCCGCUCCCGAACAGCCAUCAUUGUGCCUCAUCGUGCCCGGGAGCACCACCUGCGCCUGCUGCUCUACCACCUGCACCCCUUCUUGCAGCGCCAGCAGCUUGCUUAUGGCAUCUAUGUCAUCCACCAGGCUGGAAAUGGAACAUUUAACAGGGCAAAACUGUUGAACGUUGGGGUGCGAGAGGCCCUGCGUGAUGAAGAGUGGGACUGCCUGUUCUUGCACGAUGUGGACCUCUUGCCAGAAAAUGACCACAAUCUGUAUGUGUGUGACCCCCGGGGACCCCGCCAUGUUGCCGUUGCUAUGAACAAGUUUGGAUACAG